rnacentral:lncRNA from 1 species
GGACUGUUUGACUUCUUGGGGAAAAAAGAGGAAGUGAAACCUCAAGAGACGACGACACUUGAGUCAGAGUUUGAGCACAAGGCUCAGGUCUCGGAACCGCCGGCGUUUGUGGCGAAGCACGAAGAAGAGGAAGAGAGGGAGCAUAAGCCUACUCUCCUCGAGAAGCUUCACCAUAAGCACGAGGAAGAAGAAGAAGAGAACAAACCUAGUCUCCUCCAGAAGCUUCACCGAUCCAAUAGCUCUUCCUCUGUAAGUAACGUAUACAGUCCGUAAGGACCAGUGCUGAGAUGAUAUUUGUGGGGUUUGAAACAGUUACUAAACAUAUGUUUUAAUUAAUUAUUUGGAGGCUGAGUGACACAUUUAUAUUAACCACCAAUAUUAGGAACCAUAGACGAAUGUUUUUUUUUUUUUUGAAACUGAACCAUAAACGAAUGUUUUAUUUCGCUAUGCACAAAACUGCUCCGAGUGUUAUAUAAAAUUAUUUAUAAAACUUAGAUUAGUGUUAUACUAGUUAUUAGUUAAAUCUCUAUUAACCCGAGUGUGUUGAUUUCUAACAGUCAAGCGAUGAAGAAGGAGAAGAUGGUGAGAAGAGGAAGAAGGAGAAGAAGAAGAUCGCUGAAGAAGAUGAGAAAACAAAGGAAGAUAGAAAAGGGGUAAUGGAGCAGAUCAGGGAGAAGUUUCCACACGGAACAAAGACAGAGGAUGACACUCCAGUCAUCGCCACCCUGCCGGUGAAGGAGGAAACGGUAGAGCAUCCGGAGGAGAAGAAAGGACUGAUGGAGAAGAUCAAGGAGAAGCUUCCAGGUCACAGCGAGAAACCAGAGGAUUCUCAAGUGGUCGACACGGCGGCUGCAGUACCAGUGACGGAGAAAACGGCGGAGCAUCCGGAAGAGAAGAAAGGACUGAUGGGGAAGAUCAAAGAGAAGCUCCCAGGUUAUCACGCCAAGAGCACUGAAGAGGAGGAGAAGAAGAAAGAAAAGGAGUCCGAUGAUUUAGAAGGAUGAAAUAAUAUAAUGGUGUGGGACAUUUGCUGUGUUUCUUUGAUGGUUUUCUCUUUAAUCUUUAUGAUGUUCUGUAAGAUUUGUGUUUUUCGUUGAUUUGCAUUUGCACCUUUAUAUUGUAAUUUCAUUAUCUCUUUUAUAAAGUUUGUAUUGUGUUUCUAAGUAACGUUUAUGUGUGUAACUCUUCGUAUACAGUUGGUUCCUAGUUAUGGUAACCACAUGAUCACCUUAGAAUCGCGGCAAGAGUUUCACAUGAUGACAUAUAUAAUAGGAAAAAGACGUAAAAACAAAUACUAAAUCCUAACACCAUCCAGCAGAGCAAAAAAAACUAUACUACGAAUUACGAAUAUUAAACUAGUUCAAAUAUGUCCCCAUCUGGCUUCUUAAGAUCUUGGACAUGUAAACCCCACUCACCACACACACAACUAAAGCAAUUAUUUCUCAAGAAGUCAAGAUGAAUCUGUCAUGACCCAAUCCCAUUAUCAAGCCCACAAAUGCAAACCCGUCAAGGCCCAAGCCCAGUUGAAAUAGCCAAGGUAUUUUCUAUAAAUAUCCACUCCCAUAACUUUGUUUUCUCCACCAAGUAUCAAAAAAGUUUUGGAGAGAGAGAGAGCUAAGGGGAAGUGUGAUCAUUUUGUAGUGGGAGAGUCACCAGAGCUCGUCGCCGGAGCCACCGUGUGCCGUGAUCAAGCCCAGCUCGUCACCACCGAUCGUCACCUUAGGUAACUGCCGGAAACCGUUUGCCUUUUAAGUUUCGUUUCGGCCGUUUUAAUAAAUCAUCCAUAACUUCCUAACCGUUAAGAAUUUCGUGCAUGCAAUACCACCAUCGUGUUCCUCACGUCGAGACAAAUCCGUAGACACCAACCGCGCUGCAAUCGGAGUCCGGACGAGCCCUCACGCGCCUCCGGAAGAUCUCCCUUCGCGCGCGAGUGAAACGCUCGCGCCGCCGUCACCGACGCCAGCUCGCCGAAGCCGCCGUGCCCGGCCGCCGUCAGUCCGCCGCUGGGAAGCCGCAGCCGCGUCGCCACAGCGCCUCCGCGUUGCCACAGCGCCUCCGCUGUCGCCGGUGACUUUGCCGGUAAGCCACCGCUCCUCCGCCGUCGCCGCCAGUGACUCACCGGCAACUCGCCAACUCGACCGAAUCGACUCGAUGAGUCAACUUGGUGACUCGGUUAACCGGUUGGUUACGUUAAACCGAUCGGUUAAAAUCAAUUAGAAUUCGGUUAGGUUAAACCGGUUAUUUUAAUUAAUUAAUUAAUUUCGGUUAAGUAAACCGGAUGAUCCAAUUAAAAAUUGAUUGGUUUAAAUUAAUUUCAGUCUGGUCAAGGGUUGACCGGCUUGGGUCAGAGUUGACCGGGUUGACCUUUGACCAGCGGGUUGACUUUCCCGUAGUCACCCGUUUUUGGUCGUUCAAAGGGUGUUCUGACUCGAAAUUUCGAUCUGAUUUCAGAUUUGGAGUCUAUUUGAGCAGCUGGAGUUCAUAGAUACCACUUCUCUUCAUUGCUAAGGUGAGAGAUUCUCUGUUUAAAUCCUGAACUAGUUUAGUACUACCGUUAUGGAAAGUCUAGUUUCGAAACAUGAUCCGUCUCUGUGAAUCGAGUCUGUUUGAGAGUCUUGCUUGUUCACUAAUGUUAUUAAUUGUUAAACCGGAAAUAGGAUAAUAAAUGAUUCAAUGGUUGAUUGAAAUGAUUGAUGUUAAGAACUGUUAAUUAUAUAUAUAUAUGUAUAUAUGUUAGUCCAUGUGUUGAGAUUGCAUGGUGCAGAGGUGAUUGCACUAGGCCGCGGGAUUUGCGGGGUACAAAUACGUUUGUACUAGGCCGCCUGUUUGAGAGAUCACGGGGUACGGAAAUAUCUGUACUAGGCCGUGUGUUUAGCAGGGUACAGAGACGUUUGUACUAGGUCGCUUGUUUGUGGAUAUUGCGGGGGUAUAGAGUGGACUACUGUACUAUCUACGCCUGUAGAGUUAUAUAUAUAUAUCUUUAUGAGGAAAUGCUAUUAUCGCAUUGAUUGUAGCAUGUCUAGUCCACUAGACAUAUGUGAUUGUUCUGUGUGGUGUAAUAGACACCGUGUUUGCUUCAUGCUAGAGCUAGGCCUACAUAGUUGUAGUGCUAUGAACUGAGUUAGUGGUUUGUGGUUUAGCAUCCCAUACCUCACUGGGCGAUUCCCCCGUCGCUCACCCCUCCUUUUUUUCCCCUUUGAGGUGAGACCGACGAGCAGGAGUGAUUAUACCGGACCGGUGCUUUUGGGCUUUUACUACUAUCGAGCUUUAGACUUCUAUCACUCUUAUCGUUUUAUCGCUUUUGGGCAUUUGGGCUUCUAUCUAUCGUUUAUGUUAUUUCGUAUUUCGGACUUUCGGUUUAUGCCGUACUUUAUAUUUCGGAUGUUAUCGUUGUUGGGCCUUUAGGCCUUAUGGUAUCGUAUUGACUUUUAUAUUAUGAUAUGGAGAUUAUUAUUAUUAUUUCCGCUUGUAUUUAUUUAUUAUAUCUCGGAAGUGACGGGUGCCAAAAUUUUGGUAUCUGAGCGGGGUUCCGUCCCGGCUCCGACCUGGGAUGGCGAUUUUGGAGUCCUGGUUUUAUUCGGUUUUAUUCGGUUUAAACAGUUUUAGACGAUUUCAAAAUAUUUUCGGGGAUUUGGGAAUUUUGAAAAUGAAAAUAAAUAGCACCUUUCCGUUCGGUAUCACUCCUUCUUAAAUGUUGGUCUCCAGAGUUCGACAUAAGUUAACCUUUUUGCUUUCCUUUCUGAUGCCGUCCAGGAAGAGAGUUGUUCGUACUCAGACCACCAGAGUUGCUAGAGAGGCUGAGGAUGAGCAUGUUCAGCCCGCAGUUCCACAGCAGGCGGCUCCACCUAUUGAUCAUGAUGCUCUGAGACAGAUGGUUCAGGAUGCGGCUAGGAAGGCUGCACAGGAGGUAGUCCAGCUAGCUGCCCAGGAGGCUGCCCGAGUAGCUGCUCAGGAGGUUGGCAGAUAGAUGGCUGCAGCUCAGUAGGGUCAGGAGAUUCCACAUGGUCCUCAGGUUCAGGUGCAGCAGGGUCCUCAGAUUCACAUGCAGCAGGCUCCACCAGUUCAGGUUCAUCAUGAUCAUUAGGUUCCACAUCAGCAGGCUCCAUCUCAGCAGUAUCCUCAGGUUCCCGUUCAGCCGGUUCCAGGAGUUUUUCAGGUCUCACCGCCGCCGCCUGCUUUCCCACUUCAGGUGCCCGAGGUUGAUGAGACAUUUAUCAAGGUGUUGGGACAUAUGAAGUAUGUGAGUUUGGAGCAUUUAACUGGAACAACGGAACCUACAGUUGCUCACGAUUGGAAGCAUAGUCACGAUUGGAAGCACAGUUUGAAUAAGUGUUUGAAGACCAUCUCGUGCCCACCAAGGCUCAAGCUUAACAUCGCUGAGUUGUAUUUACGUGGAGACGCAUCAAUCUGGUGGGAUGGAGUGAGAUUGAUGCACCGUGACGAGCUGACAUAUGAUGAUUUUCUUUACGCGUUCAACAAUAAGUAUUUUCUGAGGGAAGCUUUGCGUGAGAAGAAUAAGGAUUUCGAGCAUUUGAGGCAUGGUGUAGAGUCUGUUAGGGAGUAUGAGCGGGAGUUUAACCAACUCCGCAGGUUUGUGUGUAACAGCAUAGAUGAGGAUGAUCUGAUCAGGAGGUUCUAAGAUGGGAUGCGUGUGAAACUUCGCGGUAGGUGUAGUGUGGUUACCUACACCAGUUUGGAGGAUCUGGUAGAGAAGGCUGCUGUGCAGGAGUUAUGUAUGGUAGAGAAGCAGAAGUACUCCAAGGCAGCUCAGCCUAAGACCGGAGGGACUUCAGGGUCACAGAAGAGGACCUUGGAGCAGGAUGGGGCAUCCCGUUGUGGGCGUUGUCGUCGCCAGCAUUUUGAAAAGUGUCUCCAGUGCUUUAACUGUGGUCUGUUUGGGCAUAUUUCAAAGAAUUGUAGGAAGCCGCCACGUACUCAGGUUGCAGCGCCAGCAGCGGCAGUAGCACCAGCAGUGGCAGCGAGGAACUGUUACGGCUGUAACCAGCCGGGUCACAUCUACAGAGAUUGUCCGAGGAGGGGAAAUGCAGCGCUUCCACCACCACCGAAGCGUCCAGCCAUCGCUCCACGUGUGUUUGCGGUUGGAGAUCCUCAGGGAGCUGAGCCGAUAGCGGGUAUGUGUCUUUUCCAUUCUUGUUUGUGUUUGAGUAAAUUAGUCUAUGGUUAUCAUGUGUAGUUAGUAAAAAUCUCGUGUAGGAUUGGUUUCGGUUGGAGGAGAGUCAGCUCACACCUUAUUCGACACCGGAGCCUUUCAUAGUUUUGGGAGUCCACGCUUAGCCUAGUCUUGGUCUUUUCGGGGUGUCUUCGAACCGAAGGCUAAGAAGAUUCAGACUGCCGGCACGGAGAAGUUGGGAGCAAUUGGCAUUCAUCGCGAUGUACCAGUUAUUCUUAGAGGAGUUGAGUUGCUCGAAGAUUUGACGGAGCUUGAGAUGAGCUUCUACGAUGUUAUACUUGGGAUGGAUUGGUUGUCGCGACAUCGAGUAGUCUUGGAUUGUCCGAAGGCAAGAGUUAAUAUCCCUAGAGCAGAAGGGAAGAUCAUUUACGAGGGCAUUCAGACACACCAGGAAAUUCCUAUCGUCUCCAUGUUGUGUGCAGAGGAAUUAUUAGAGGGUGGAGCAGAGGGAUUUUUGCCAACCAUUUUGAUGGUUAAGGAGGACGGUCAGCAGGAGCUGCAUGAUAUUCCAGUGGUCGCCGAGUACGAGGACGUUUUUGAGGCUUUAAAAGGGCCACCACCUGCUAGAGAUGACGUUCUUACGGUAGAAGUGGAACCAGGAGUAGCACCAGUUUCACGAGCUCCAUACCGUCUCGCACCAGCUGAGAUGGCGGAGUUAAAGAAGCAGUUGGAGGAGCUAUCUGAUAAGGGGUUUAUCAGACCGAGUACUUCACCGUGGGGAGCACCAGGGUUGUUUGUAAAGAAGAAAGAUGUGAGUUUCAGACUUGGUAUCGACUAUAGAGGUCUCAACAAAGUGACCAUCAAGAAUAAGUACCCACUCCCGCGUGUCGACGAGUUGUUGGAUCAGUUGCAGGGAGCUUCAUGGUUCUCUAAGAUUGACUUGGCAUCGGGAUACCACCAGAUUGCGAUAGCUGAGGGAGAUGUGCAGAAGACGGCAUUCCAUACACGUUAUGGACAUUUCAAUUUUGUGGUGAUGCCAUUUGGGUUGACGAACGCACCGGCAGCGUUCAUGAAGCUCAUGAAUGAUGUGUUUCAGAAGCACUUGGAUAAGUGUGUGAUCGUUUUCAUCGACGACAUCUUGGUUUAUUCUCGGAGUAGAGAAGAGCAUGCUGAGCAUUUGCGGAUUGUGUUGGGUAAGCUUUGGGAACAUCAGUUGUUUGCCAAGCUGAGUAAGUGUAGCUUUUGGCAGAGGAAGAUUGGAUUUUUGGGCCACGUGGUUUCAGAAGCAGGAGUUGCCGUAGAUCUGAAGAAGAUUACCGCCAUUUCAGAGUGGCCGACGCCAAAGAGUGCUACGGAGAUCCGCAGUUUUCUCGGUUUGGCGGGGUAUUACAGGAAGUUUGUCAUGGGUUUUGCUAGCAUUGCUAAGCCGAUGACGAAGCUUACGGGCAAAGACGUCAAGUUUGAUUGGUCAGAUAAUUGCUCGAGGAGUUUCACUUAGUUGAAGUGACAGUUGACACAGACGCCAGUUUUGGUACUUCCGAGGCCAGGGAUAUCAUAUGAGGUCUACACUGAUGCGUCAAGUACCGGAUUGGGAUGUGUAUUGAUGCAGGAGGGUCAGGUAAUUGCAUAUGCAUCACGUCAGUUGAGGCCUCACGAGGUCAAUUAUCCUACGCAUGACUUUGAGUUAGCGGCAGUUGUAUUUGCAUUGAAGAUCUGGAGAUCGUACUUGUAUGGGGAGAAGGUGAAGAUUCUCACAGAUCACAAGAGUCUGAAGUACAUCUUUACUCAGACGGAUUUGAAUUUGAGACAGCGCAGAUGGAUUGAGUUGUUAGCAGAUUAUAAUUUGGAGAUCGCUUAUCAUCCGGGAAAGGCUAAUCAAGUGGAAAAUUCCUUGAGUAGGCGCCAGAGCGAUGUAUCGGGAACCAAAGAGGUUCAAGAACUUACUGGGAUACUCGUUAGUCUCAGAUUGUGUGCUACUACUGUAGACGAAGAGUCAGCUGGCCUCGAGGCUGUUGAGCAGACAGAUAUGUUGUGUAGAAUACGCAAAGCUCAGGUUGCUGAUGAGGUUUUGUGUAAGCAGAUCGAGAUCGAGAGUGUUUGAUAUCAUACAACUUCGAGCGGGAUGUUCAUGUAUCGGAACCGGGUUUGUGUGCCCAAGGUUGAGCUGUUGAGAAAGGAAAUCUUGCAGCAGGCACACCACUCUCGUUUUUCUAUUCAUCCGGGGAAUACCAAGAUGUACAGAGAUCUGAAGCGUUACUACAAUUGGCCUGGUAUGAAGAAAGAUGUUGCUACUUUUGUAUCACAGUGUCAGACAUGUCAGUUGGUUAAGGCUGAGCAUCAGGUGCCUAGCAGGUUAUUGCAAAACCUGCCAAUGCCGGAAUGGAAAUGGGACAUGGUGACUAUGGAUUUUGUAUCAGGGUUACCGACCACUUCAGGAGGAAAGAAUGCGAUAUCGUUUAUCGUGGAUAGACUCACCAUGUCAGCCCACUUCUUGGCAAUUAAGAAAACAGACGGUGCGGAUAAGUUGGUGCAGAUCUACAUUAGCGAGAUUGUGAGAUUGCACGGAGUUCCCAUGAGCAUUGUAUCAGAUCGGGAUGUAAAGUUCACGUUUGAGUUUUGGAGAGCCUUUCAGAAGGCACUUGGGACAAAAGUCCAGAUGGUCAGUCAGAGAGGACUAUUCAGACUUUGGAGGAUAUGCUUCGGGCUUGUGUCUUAGAUUGGGAAGGAAGUUGGGUGAAGUAUCUACCUCUAGCCGAGUUUGCCUACAACAACAGUUAUCACUCGAGCAUUAAGAUGGCACCAUAAGAGGCUCUUUAUGGUAAGUCUUGUCGCACACCGCUUUGUUGGUCCGAAGUGGGGGAGCGAUGUAAAAUAGAACCAGCCAUGGUUCAAGUGGGGGAGCGAUGUGAAAUAGAACCAAACAUUGGCGACCUGGUAUACCUUAAAAUGAGAACAUUUCAGGGAGGAUCUAAAACUCGUAUGCUAAAGAAGCUUAAACCGAGAUAUAUGAGACCAUAUCCUAUUUUGGAGCGGAUUUGAGCAGUUGCUUACCGAUUAGGUUUAUCAGUAGAGUUAUCGGAUUUCCAUGAUGUGUUUCAUGUAUCAGUUUUGAGAGAGGUCGUGAGAGAGCCUGAACUCAUUUUGCCGCAUCCUCCCAGUGAUCUUGGCAAAAGUUUGUAUGCCGCGUGUCAGCCAGUGGAGAUUUUCGAUCGGCAAGUGACAGCAGAUAAGGGGAUGAUGACCAUGUUGGUUAGAGUUCGUUGGGAGAGAGACGAGAUUCAGGAGGAGACAUGGGAGCCUGAGCUAUAGAUGAAGAUUGAUUAUCCAUAGCUAUUUCAGGAUGUUAUUGAAGAGUCAGUUGGUGACUCGAAUUCGGGGUCGAAUUCCUUAUUAGUUGGGAAAAAUUGUCAUGACCCAAUCCCAUUAUCAAGCCCACAAAUGCAAACCCGUCAAGGCUCAAGCCCAGUUGAAAUGGCCCAAGGUAUUUUCUAUAAAUAUCCACUCCCAUAACUUUGUUUUCUCCACCAAGUAUCAAGAAAGUUUUGGAGAGAGAGAGAGAGAGAGAGAGAGUGAGCUAAGGGGAAGUGUGAUCAUUUCGUAGUGGGAGAGUCACCGGAGCUCGUUGCCGGAGCCACCGUGUGCCGUGAUCAAGCCCAGCUCGUCACCACCGAUCGUCACCUUAGGUAACCGCCAGAAACCUUUAGUUUCGGCCAUUUUAGUAAAUCAACAAUAACUUCCUAACCGUCAAGAAUUUCGUGCAUGCAAGACCACCAUCGUGUUCUCUCGUGGAAACAAAUCUAUAGACACCAACCGCGCUGCAAUCAGAGUCUGGACAAGCCCUCACGCGUGCCCGGCCGCCGCCGGGAAGCCGCCGCUACGCCUCCGCCGCCGCCGGUGACUUUGCCGGUACGCCACCGCUCCUCCGCCGUCGCCACCGGUGACCUGCCGGAAACUCGCCAACUCAGCCGAGUCGACCCGGUGAGUCAACUCGAUGACUCGGUCAACCGGUUGGUUAAGUUAAACCGAUCGGUUAAAAUAGAUUGGAAUUCAGUUAGGUUAAACCGGUUAUUUUAAUUAAUUAAUUAAUUUUGGUUAAGUAAACCAGUUGAUCCAAUUAAAAAUUGAUUCCGGUUAAGGAAAACCGAUUGGUUUAAAUUAAUUUCAGUCUGGUCAAGGGUUGACCGGCUUGGGUCGGAGUUGACCGGGUUGACCUUUGACCAGCGGGUUGACUUGAGCAGCGGGUUGACUUUCCCGUAGUCACCCGUUUUUGGUCGUUCAAUGGAUAUUCUGACUUGAAAUUUCGAUCUGAUUUCAGAUUUGGAGUCCAUUUGAGCAGCUGGAGUUCAUAGAUACCACUUCUCUUCAUUGCUAAGGUGAGGGAUUCUCUGUUUAAAUCCCAAACUAGUUUAGUACUAUCGUUAUGGAAAGUCUAGUUUCGAAACAUGAUCCGUCUCUGUGAAUCGAGUCUGUUUGAGAGUCUUGCUUGUUCACUGUUGUUAUUAAUUGUUAAACCGGAAAUAGGAUAAUAAAGGAUUCAACGGUUGAUUGAAAUGAUUGAUGUUAAGAACUGUUAAUUAUAUAUAUGUAUAUAUGUUAGUCCGUCUGUUGAGAUUGCGCGGUGCAGAGGUGAUUGCACUAGACCGCGGGAUUUACGGGGUAUAGAGACGUUUGUACUAGGCCGCCUGUUUGAGAGAUCACGGGGUACAAAGAUAUAUGUACUAGGCCGUGUGUUUAGCGGGGUACAUAGACGUUUGUACUAGGCCGCUUGUUUGUGGAUAUUGCGGGGGUUACAUAGUGGACUACUGUACUAGCUACGCCUGUAGAGUUAUAUAUAUAUAUAUCCUUAUGAGGAAAUGCUGUUAUCGCAUUGAUUGUAGCAUGUCUAGUCCACUAGAAAUAUGUGAUUGUUCUGUGUGGUGUGAUAGACACCGUGUUUGCUUCAUGCUAAAGCUAGGCCUACAUAGUUGUUGUUUUAUGAACUGAAUCAGUGGUUUGCGGUUUAGCAUCCCAUACCUCACUGGGGGACCCGGUCGCUCAUCCCUCCUUUUUUUCCCCUUUCAGGUGAGACCGACGAGCAAGAGUGAUUAUACUGGACCGGUGCUUUUAGGCUUUUACUACUAUCGAGCUUUGGACUUCUAUCACUCUUAUCAUUUUAUCGCUUUUGGGCCUUUGGGCUUCUAUCUAUCGUUUAUGUUAUUUCGUAUUUCGGACUUUCGGUUUAUGUCGUACUGUAUAUUUCAGAUGUUAUCGUUGUUGGGCCUUUAGGCCUUAUGGUAUCGUAUUGACUUUUAUAUUAUGAUAUGGAGAUUAUUAUUAUUAUUUCCGCUUGUAUUUAUUUAUUACUAGGAGGGUGUCCGCGCUUCGCACGAAAUAUUGUUUUAUUGUUCUUAAAUAUGUUUUUUAGGAUGAUGUGAUUAUGUGGUCAAUAUUUAUUUGUGAAUAGCAUUAUUUAGUGUGUUAUUGUGUUAUGUAGUAGUAGAUAAUAAGUUAAUAUAUUAUGUGUUUGUCUUUUUAAUAAUGUUUGUUGUGUGUAUAAUACUACUUGUUAGUGGUAAAGUGAGCUUCUGAUGUAAAACAUAUUGAAUUUCAAUAAUUUUGCAUUUAUGCAUUUGUUGAUUUUAAGAUUAACGGCUUCAAAAUUGUAUUUUAAUUUUUCACAUUUUUGAACAUUACUUUUUUAGAUGUCUUUUUUGCACUAUCUCCAUAUUUUGACUUUGAACCAUCACCAUCUAUGUAUUUCGUUUACAUUUCCGGUGUGCAGGGCUUCUCACCAUCACUGAGAAAAGACUCACCUCCGUGCUCUUGUUUUUUCUCACCUUCUUCUUCUGUGAGAUUAUCUGGUAUUUGUUAUAGAUCACGCAUAUUAGUUUCAUGUUGUGCGGCUGUUUCUUACGGUGUUGUAGGUUAUUACAGUCAAUAUUGGUCUUUUUUUCCUUAGAUUUUGGCUAAUGUUAGAAACUACAUCUCGUUGGGUUGAGUUAGAGUUUAUUUGUCUUCCUCGUUGUUGGUUUGCCGUCGAUAGUCUCUGCUGUUUUGGUUUUCAAGAUCUGGCUUUGGUGAUCUGGCUUUUGGUGGUUUGUUUUAUAGUUCGAGGAUGGCUCCACAGUUUGUUGAAUUAAUUUUGUCUCAUUUUAUCUCUUUGUUCUCUCAUCUCGUUGUUCCUUCAUCGCUGAUCACGUCUCUGGUGGCUCUCCCUUUCGCCAUAUUUGCUACUCCAGGGUUGGAUAGUGUUUUUCUCUAUAUAUGCUUUGUGCGCUUGGAAGGUUGUUUAUGGUCUCAAGCUUGAGCUCUUGUUUCUUGGUGGUUGGCUUCCGUUUUCCCUCACUCAUGUUGUUUAUUUUCUUCUCAUGCUUCCUUUGGUGUAGGUGUGCGGAGUUAGUCUUUUGGAUCUUUGGUUCCUUCUAUUCAGAGCUUUGUGGUUUUUUGCUGGCAUGAGUGUCUUGUAUGUGUUUGUUUAGUUUGUGAUGUGCUUCUUACCUCUUAGCUGGUGGUUGUGCUUCCGGUGCUUUAGGCAUGCGUCUUCUUGUUUCGUGGUAACUUUGUUCUUCCGAUGAUUAUUCUUUCUCUGACCCGUGUUUUUGGCUUUUUGCACUGGUGCUUGAUCGCGAUCCUUUAUAUUCUGGAGAUUGUUUUGUCUCAUAUUUUAUAUUUUUACUUUUUUCUGAGAUUUGCUUGUUCUAGUCAAGACAUUCUAUGGUAAGAUGAGAUAAGUUAGUCUUCUUUGUUGAUAUCUUUUCAGCUCCAAACCUUUAUUAAGUUAGUGUUACUAUGGUAUUUUUCUUUUCCUCUAUGAUUGUGGAAGUUUUAAGUUUAGAUUGUGUAUUGCACUCUAGUUUCUUCUUAUUAAUUUAGUCAUUUUAUAUUUUAAUAGUUAAAUAAAUAUAUGAUUUGUAAAUAAAAUAAUAAAAAUGGUAAAAAAUAAUAAAAUAACAAAAAUUUAUGUUAUUUUUAGUUGUGAAUAAUUUAAAUAUUUAAAAUAAAUUUUUAUUAUUUUAUUUAUUUAUUUAUUCAUCUUGAAUUUUAGUGAAAAAUAAAAUAGAUUAUCAAACUUCUUACAAUAAUAGAGUGCGAAAAACAUUAGAUAGUGCACAAUUAAAACGUAUUUGACCAAAUUGCAAUAAUCUAAAAGAAAAAGAAUUUAAAAUGUAAAAAAAAUACAUGGAUGACACGUGUCGCAAAACUCUUCUGCCACUUGUCAGAAGAAGGGAAAAAACAACUUUAUCUCGGAAGUGACGGGUGGCACAGAAUCACUGUAAAAAUUGAUUAGGACAAAAGAGUAACAUGACACAAAAGUAGAAAUAAUACGUUGAAAGCACAUACGCCAAGCCAAACAGUGUAGCGAGCGAUCAAACUUUAGAUCUUUCAUAAUCAAUAUUUCAUAAAAUAUUUUUUUUUGGGUUGAAACAUACCGUGAUUAUAAUUAGUGUUGCCUUUAGGAAUCAAGAUGUUAACAAAAAGAUUGAUCCGCGCACCCGUAUGAAUACUGAUUCUUACAUUUUUAUACAUUUGUAUUUGUUUUUUAUAAUUAGUCUUUCAUAUUUUUGAUGUGUAGUAGUAUAAUUAAUUGUAUUCAAAAGACAUUGAUCGAAUCGGUUAAUAUGAUUAUUUUUGGUACAAAUAUAUAAAUCCGUUUCAUAUAUAUUUGUUAUUUAGAUAUUUUUAGGUUCAUAUAAAUCAGAACCGAACUCAUUCAGACCGAGAAUGACUCAACUCAAAACUCACACAUAAAAAUUUAUAAUAUUCAAGCAUACCUAAUUUCAAAACUCACAUAAUAUAGAUCAUUUCUAAUAUAUUUUGUUAUAUACUAUCUUUGUUUUCUAUUAGUUGGCAAGGACUUUCACAAUUAUUGAAAAAUUAUUGAUUUUUACUUAUUUUGCAUUAAUUAAUCUUAGUUUAACCAAUAAAAAUCAUUCCAUAAAAUGCAGUUGGUUUAAAAACACUAAACAACAUUGAAGAUUUAUACAAAAGUAAAAUCUUAAAACACCAAUUAAAAUUAAACAUAAGGAGUAAUAAUUUAGGAUAGAUCUGACAGCUUAUAAAAUAUCAUUUUUUAAUUUUCUCUAUUUAAAUAUAUAAACAUAGAGAUUUGUAUAUUUUAAAAUAGAAAUGAAUCGGAAUAAAUCUAUUUUAAAUAUAACUAUAGAAAUAAAUAUAGUCAAUAGUCAUAAAUUGAAAAUGCUCUUACCGUCUAUAUCUUGACAUUUUUAUCCUCUCUUACCGUCUAUAUCUUGACAUUUUUAUCCUCUCUUACCGUAUUAAUUUGGUGAUAAUCUUGAGAAUGUAGAGAGACCAACAAAUAAUUUUUGACUAUUUCAAAAGUUGCACACUAAUCCUUACUCAAGCAUAUAUAUGUUUCAUUUUCUAUCCUAUCUACAUCUCAUGGUCCGAAAAUGAAGAACACUAAAAUGGCUGCAAACUGCAAAAUCGCAUAUGCUUUUGUUAUAGGUUUAUCGCUUCUAAUUGCCACAGCGGCCGAAGAUCCAUACAUAUUCUAUGAGUGGCACGUAACCUAUGGUACUAUCUCUCCUAUGGGGGUUCAACAACAGGUACUUGCUUUGCUUGCCUAAUCGAUUAUACAUUAGUUUUGUUAACUGGAUGAUUAUGUUUUAUUUCCUCUCCUUCCGCUAGGGUAUAUUGAUUAACAAGAUGUUUCCGGGACCUGAAAUACGCUCUGUCACCAAUGAUAAUCUCAUCAUCAACGUAUUCAACGAACUCGAUGAGCCUUUUCUUAUUUCAUGGUACGUAUCUAUUUGUUUUCCUUGUAAGUUCUUAGCUACUUUUUUGUACACCACAAUUUCAUAAUUUAUGUAUAUGAAACAUAUUUUCCUAUGUCAAUCACAAGGUAAUCGAUUAUCGCUCUGACGUGUCAUAUAUUGCAUCAUUUGUAAAUUAUCUACGUCCGCGUCUGUAUGGUGAUUGUUCAUUUCAUAUACGUGGGCUACCUGCCUACAUGCUUAACUUUUGUUAUUGUUUAAAAUUUGAACGAUCACUCGAUAAUUUCCACAAGCGCAAAUUCCACUCUUUAUAGGCCCAAAAAUCCUUUCACAAAAUAAUCCAUCUUUUUCCGGUUUAUUGGUUUUUAAAACUGAUUACGAUUUUUGUAUGAUUCCGACACAAGGGCCGGGAUACAAAACAGAAAGAACUCGUUCCAAGACGGAGUGUAUGGAACGACGUGCCCAAUCCCGCCGGGGAAGAACUACACUUACGUUCUUCAGGUUAAGGAUCAGAUCGGAAGCUUCUAUUACUUCCCAUCGCUUGGCAUUCACAAAGCUGCAGGUGGUUUCGGAGGUAUUCGUAUCUCUAGCCGUCCAAUGAUCCCCGUUCCUUUCCCUCCUCCCGCUGAUGACUACACUGUUCUUAUCGGUGACUGGUACAAGACCGAUCAUAAGGUAAUCGAUUCUAGCUCCAACGUUUGUAAUUCGAUGGUAGAUUGUGAUAACUUUGAAUGGCCAUCAUAAUAUUGUUGUUGAAUCUAUGAUUUAGAGGGAAAAUAAACAUUUUUAAGUUAAUACGAAUAAAAAUAAACAUUUUAUUGUUGUCGAAUCUAUGAUUGUGAAUUGUGAUAACCUUGAAUGACCAUCAUUUAUAGAAUUCUCUGUUGUGGUAGAUGUUCAUGAAAUACACAUGCAAUAAAGAUUGGACCGUUUGAUAUGCCGUUAAAGAAAACAAUAAGGAUCGUAUAUUCUUUGGUUUAUUCUUUUUUUUUUUGGUUCAAAUUAUAGAUAGGAACAAAUUUGUCCCCAAAAAGAGAGAUAGGAACAAUUUUUUUUGUUGGCAAUGCUGUUUGCUUGACGUAUAGUUAUACUACAUGCAGGGGCGGACGUAAGUACGGCGGUGCGGGCGUCCCUCCUACUGAUUUUUAUUUUUUCUUUGAUAGUUUAAUUUGAUUAAUCAAAUAUCGUUAGUUUAGUGAAGAAAAAUGUAAAAAUGCCCCCAUCAUAAAAAGUUUCUGUGUGUUUAUAAUAAAUAUAGUGCCCCAAUUAAGAAUCUUUCUAGAUCCGCCCUUGACUACCUGCUUGGAUUUUCUUAAUGAUGUUUAUGAAUCUUUUGUGUAGGCCUUGAGAGCGCAGCUCGAUAAUGGCGGAAAGCUUCCUUUACCAGAUGGAAUUCUCAUUAAUGGUCUUAAUAGUGGUGCUACACUCAACAUUCAACCAGGUCUAUUAUCUCUUUCUCUCCUCGUAUCUCACUCAUUUGUUAAUGGUAAUUUGCGCAACGUUUUGAUUGGUUCUGGUGUGAAUAUUUCCACAGGUAAUACAUAUAGGCUGAGAAUAUCAAAUGUAGGAUUGCAAAACUCUCUCAACUUCCGCAUUCAGAACCAUGAGAUGAAGUUGGUUGAAGUCGAAGGGACACACACUCUUCAGAACGUGUACUCAUCGCUUGAUGUUCACGUUGGUCAGUCUUACUCGGUCCUUAUAACGGCUAACCAGCCUGCAAAAGAUUACUACAUUGUGGUCUCUAGUAGGUUUACCCCAAAAGUCCUCACCACCACCGGUGUUCUCCACUAUAGUAAUUCUGCUGGACCUGUUUCUGGACCUAUCCCUGCUGCACCAAUUCCAUUGAGCUGGUCUUUUAGCCAAGCUCGAACCAUCAGGUACGUUUUUUAUUCUUCAACAGUUAUGUGCUUGUCACCAAUUUUGAAGAAAACCCCUUCAGUAUCCUUUAGAUUAUAAGCUCAUGUAGUGUUUUGCUAGCGUAGAGGAUAUUCAUGAAAUUUUGGCCUUAUAGCUUGGCGGUGUUUCUUCGUGUGUUAUAGGACCAACCUAACAGCGAGUGGACCAAGACCAAACCCACAAGGUACAUACCACUAUGGUAUGGUAAACGUCACUAGAACCAUCAAACUUGUUAGCUCUGCUGGACAGAUCGAAGGCAAACAACGAUACGCCGUGAACAGUGCAUCAUUUACCCCAUCAGACACCCCUUUGAAACUCGCGGAUUACUUCAAGAUAGAUGGCGUGUAUAAUCCUGGAAGCAUGUCUGACCAGCCCACAGAUGCACCAAUAUUCCCUGUCACAUCUGUCUUGCAAGCUGAUUACAAAGCCUUUGUGGAGAUUGUCUUUGAGAACUGGGAAGAUAUUGUCCAAAGCUGGCACUUCAACGGUCACUCUUUCUUUGUUGUUGGGUACGUAUUUCCAAAUUGUUCCCUCAUCUCUUUUCUAAUAUAUAUGUUAAACUGUCCGUGUUUGCAUCCACAAUAAGCUAAUAACUACACGCGAGCGGUAAGCUUAAUCAAAAGCUUUCUCUAACCAAGAAAGAACCCUAACACAUGCAAUUUAAUUGUUUUAACCAACUAUUGUGGACUUGGUCUAACUAUCAGAAUGGAGUUGGGAAAGUGGAGGCCUGACAGGAGAAAAAUAUACAAUCUAAACGAUGCAGUCUCACGCUGCACUAUUCAGGUGAAACUUUAAAAACUUUCAUAUUUUGAUCUCAAACAGUUGGAUAAAACGUAUAAGUUGGGCUUUGUGUCACAAGUGAAAUAUUGUUGGAUGAACAUGUGUAGGUGUAUCCAAGAUCAUGGACUGCAAUAUACGUAGGACUAGACAACGUAGGAAUGUGGAACCUGAGAUCGGAGUUCUGGGAAAGACAAUACUUGGGACAACAGUUAUACGUGCGUGUGUACACAAACUCGACUUCUCUCAGAGAUGAAUAUCAGAUCCCGACGAACGCUCUUCUAUGUGGUAGGGCUAGUGGAGCCCACAAAGGACUGCUUUUGAGUGGCUUUGAAAACUGAGAGCGAUAGAGAAUCGGUUAAACUUUUUUUUUAAUGAAUUUUGGGUAUGCCUUGUUCUAUUAUUUCUUCUUUGUUGUUGUUUGUCCGUUGUUUCAUUUGCUUCCCAAAUACGGGUGCUGAUUCUUUUUUUUUAAUAAUUUUAAGUUGUAAAAGUGAUUUAAGAUGCAACACUAAGCACCCCGAACAUUUUCGUGCUCCAAUGGAAAGUUCUUAUUUUGGGGUUUUAGAAAAAAAAAAUUAAAAUAUUAUUUUUUGAAAGAUGCAUUUUAUUUAUUAAAUAAAACAUAAAAAAUAAACAUUCAAACAUAAAUUCUAAAAUAAAAACAGAUUAUUUCUUUUUCAUCUUUGGGUGUCAUUUUGGUCAUUUUUUUAAAAAUAAAUGGUGUUAGUUAGGUCAUUUUCAUAUUUGGGUGUCGCUGUCAAAAAAAAAAAAACAUAUUUGAGUGUUAUUUUGGUCAUAAAAACAGUGUUUGGAUGUCAUUUUGAUCAUUUUCAAAAAAAAAAGUUGGUGCUAAUUAGAUCAUUUUCAUAUUUGGGUGUUAUUUUGGUCAUAAAAACAGUAUUUGAGAAAAAAAAA